rnacentral:rRNA from 1 species
AUGACGAUAUAUGAUGAACUGAUUGAGAUGGGAGAAGCUGGUUCUAGAAGAACGUUUUUCCUUCAAAUUCUAUCUGGUGGCAUUGUCCUAGACUCCUUAGUUACGCUGAAGACGAAGAUGCGAGCAAUGGGAACAGCAGCAACGACACUGGCUAUAGCCAAAGUAGCAGCGAUUAUGGCUGUAGCAAAAGCAACAACGAUUCUGGCCUUAGCGAAAGCAGCAACGAUUCUGGCAGCAGCGAAGGCAACAAGAAGGAUGAUCCGGACUGGAGUGGGGGAGAAGAGGAGUAGAGUGGGGAUGAGGAGCUGUAGGAUGACGAUGGGCAUCAGGCUGAGGAUGACCUAG